rnacentral:rRNA from 1 species
AGAGUUUGAUCCUGGCUCAGGACGAAUGCUAGCGGCGUGCCUAAGCUAUGCAAGUCGAGCGGGGUUUCAGAGUCGAGUUUCCUUCGGGAGACAAAGCACUGAAACCUAGCGGCAAACGGGUGGGUAACACGUGAGCAACCUACCCCGUUGUCCGGGAUAACAGACCGAAAGGCCUGCUAAUACCGGAUACGAAGCUCCUUCGCAUGUUGGAGCUUGGAAAGGGGCAACCCGCAAUGGGAGGGGCUUACGGCCUAUCAGCUAGUUGGUGAGGUAACGGCCCACCAAGGCGACGACGGGUAGCCGACCUGAGAGGGUGACCGGCCACACUGGGACUGAGACACGGCCCAGACUCCUACGGGAGGCAGCAAGCGGGAAUCUUGCACAAUGGGCGCAAGCCUGAUGCAGCGACGCCGCGUGAGGGAUGAAGGCCUUCGGGUCGUAAACCUCUGUUGAUGGGGACGAAGAUCUGACGGUACCCAUCGAGGAGCUCCGGCUAACUCCGUGCCAGCAGCCGCGGUAAUACGGAGGGAGCAGCGUUGUCCGGAUUACUGGGCGUAAGAGCGCGUAAGCGGUCCGUUAGUCGCUGUGAAUCCUGGCUUA